UACGGAGGGAGCUAGCGUUGUUCGGAAUUACUGGGCGUAAAGCGCACGUAGGCGGCUUCUCAAGUCAGAGGUGAAAGCCUGGAGCUCAACUCCAGAACUGCCUUUGAAACUAGGAAGCUUGAAUCCGGGAGAGGUGAGUGGAAUUCCGAGUGUAGAGGUGAAAUUCGUAGAUAUUCGGAAGAACACCAGUGGCGAAGGCGGCUCACUGGACCGGCAUUGACGCUGAGGUGCGAAAGCGUGGGGAGCAAAAAGG
rnacentral:rRNA from 1 species